rnacentral:lncRNA from 1 species
CUGGAAAGUGUAUCUUCUCCAAAAACUUAACUCAGGACUUCUUUUUCAUUAUUUCUAGCUUAUUUACUGUAUAGACCACAAGCCUUGAGUGAGGAAAUGAGGACCCUGCCUGCUCUACUGUUGUUCCAAGCACGGUAUUUGGCAAACUAUGGGUGAGGGAACAAUAAAGGAAUGAAAUUGUGGAUCUACAGUGAGGCCAUAGCUAACACCUAGACUCUGGGACUCAUUUUUACUGCCAUUAUCUCUAGAUGCACCUUGUAAAAUGACCAGUGCUCUUGAACUUCCUGUAAGUCUGGGCUCAUGCUCCAGACAGGGCAGAAUGCAUCCCUCCCCUUGGCCAGGGCAUGGAUGCUGCCCAGAAAAGUUGCUCUCCAAGUUGUGAAAGGGGCGGUAGGUGUCCCAGUGGAAUCUGCUCCCUGCAAAGCAAGAAGCCCGCAGGAAGAGACACUUGGUAUGCUUCUUUGAUACCCAGCCCCCCAUCAAUGGCUUUGCUGUGGUUUAGGUAUUCAUGAGAAUUACAGAAAGCAGAAUGUUUCCUCCCCAACUGAUCUUACAACAGAAGCCAGACAUGUAACUCAGGCUCCACCUUCAAAUGUACCUAGGCUUCAGUUCAGAGGCUCUGGGAAAAUUCCUCUUGGCUGGCAAGGGCAGCAGUGGGUGUGGGGCUAUAUUCCUACUGCAGAAGGGGCCCCUGUGCAGCUGGCAGGUGUGGCACAUUCCUGCCAGGGGCAAGGGCAGCAUGGGC